rnacentral:rRNA from 1 species
UACGGAGGGUGCAAGCGUUUAUCCGGAUUUACUGGGUUUAAAGGGUGCGUAGGUGGGUAGGUAAGUCAGUGGUGAAAUCUUCGAGCUUAACUCGGAAACUGCCAUUGAUACUAUUUAUCUUGAAUACUCUGGAGGUAAGCGGAAUAUGUCAUGUAGCGGUGAAAUGCUUAGAUAUGACAUAGAACACCAAUUGCGAAGGCAGCUUACUACAUAGUUAUUGACACUAAGGCACGAAAGCGUGGGGAUCAAACAGG